GACGAACGCUGGCGGCGUGCUUAACACAUGCAAGUCGAACGGAAAGGCCCCUUUGGGGGUACUCGAGUGGCGAACGGGUGAGUAACACGUGAGUAACCUGCCCUUGACUUCGGGAUAACUUCAGGAAACUGGGGCUAAUACCGGAUAGGAAUCCUUGCUGCAUGGUGGGGGUUGGAAAGCUUCGGCGGUUUUGGAUGGACUCGCGGCUUAUCAGCUUGUUGGUGGGGUAGUGGCUUACCAAGGCUUUGACGGGUAGCCGGCCUGAGAGGGCGACCGGCCACAUUGGGACUGAGAUACGGCCCAGACUCCUACGGGAGGCAGCAGUGGGGAAUAUUGCACAAUGGGCGGAAGCCUGAUGCAGCAACGCCGCGUGCGGGAUGACGGCCUUCGGGUUGUAAACCGCUUUCAGCAGGGGCGAAGCUUGUGGUGACGGUACCUGCAGGAGAAGCACCGGCUAACUACGUG
rnacentral:rRNA from 1 species